GAAAAGUUUAAAGUGCAGAGGGUUGAGUGACAGGCUUUUUAGCCAAAGUGGCCAUAGGUUGCUGCCCAGUGUGAGCAAGCAGAUGGAAGCCGCGAGUUAGCUGGCAGGUAGAGGAAGCAGAGAGCUCAGAAGCAGCGCUGCAGGCUGAAAGGCAGCUUUCAAUGCAGGCUGGGGGAGCGGCAGCGAGCAGAGCUUCGCACCUUUUUGGACGGACACAAAGAGGAGGUGACCAAGAAGUGGGAAAGAGCCUGUGGAAAGAGCCAUGAGGUUGGUGCUGUGAGCUGCCUGAAGCCAGUGUGGGAGCAAGACUCUGACCACCUUCAAGAACAGCUCCUAACCACUGAGCCUUCUGUUCAGUCAUCUGGUCUACCCUUGCACAUCAGUUUCUUAAGAUGUGACUCACACCUCCAUAUGGGAAUGAUGUAAUCAAAUGUGAGGCUUGCAAAUUUAUGCACAGGUGUGUGCAUAUGCAACUGCGCAAGAUUAGUUCACCAUGUGCAUUGAAUCUGAGUUGUUUCUGGCAGUGCUGCAGUCCCAUGCUGCAUCCUGUGACUUCUCUACACCUCUGUUUCUGAGCACACAACAUGAGUUUAAAAAGCCCCUUUCCUUUCCUAUUCAUAAGGCACUCGCUUCCCAGUGAAAACUAUCAUCUCUUUGUUUUCAUUCCCAUGAUCCCCAGUCCGGCUUGCAUUUAUGGUGGGUCAGGUUGUCUCUAGGCUGGCUACUCUCAUCAUAAGAGCAUGGGUCAAAAGGUCCAAAUAGACUUGCUGGCUCCACUGGAUGUUUUCUGAGAUGCUCAUUCCACAUGACUGGGGAAAGCCAAAAGGGAUCAUAUGGACUACCAAGAAAUGCUAUGGAAGCACUGCCACAAGAAAGGCAACUCAGAUGGCUAUUGGUUACAGAUGGAGAAACUGAGGACCAAAGGAAGGUCAGGCAGAGCCAGGACUCUAAGGAGAGUGCUCAUUCUUCAGCCACCAGGAUGUCAGGAUCUAACAGAGAUCCCACCCGACUUCUCAAGGAGGUCCAUGAUCAGGUGAGGAUGAGUUUGCUUCAGAGCUUGGUAGAAUUGGUCUUUGCAAUCCCAGCUCCAGGAUCAGCUGAAGCUAAAGAGCUUCCUCAUCUUGCCUUGGUUUGUGGUCUCAGUCCGCACUGCCUCAUAAUCUCCAUCACUCAGCACCAGACCAUGCAGCUUGUCCAAUAGAGGGUCCACCGAUGUCACUCAGGCCACCAGCUGCUCUCGAUGUUGGUCCACAAAGUGUAGCAAGGAAGGAGCAUCUAUGGGUACAGAUGAGAAAGGUAUGGAGCAAAGAAAUGCUCCUUUGGGGUCUCUGACUAGCUGUCUAUUUCUUGCUCUUUUCCUGUACCUCUGGCUCCCUUUUUCCUCUGGAGGGCCAUUGGGAAUUUUCCUUUAGUUUUUUUUUGGGGCCAGUUAUUAGUUUGAAAAUUUAUCAGACUAGGGGGAAGGGUUUAUGGUUGGGCAUUAAGUUUUGGAAUGGGUGUAAUUAUUGUCAUCAUGGGAAGCAGCAAGGGACGUGAGGAACUCUGCUCUUGGUAUGAAACUCUCCUACAUUCUGGAGAAAUUUGCAAACUGAGGCUCCCUCCUUUCUCUCUGCCCUUUUGUCAAGGAUGAGAUGAAGUACCAGCCAAAUAGGAUUGACUUCUCUAGUGUCUUACAAUUUUACUAACCUUUGGGGGCUGGAGUCAUCCUGGGCAGUGCAGGUCUGAGGUCUCCUGGAAAAAAAGGAGAGAUGAUGCAUCUGUGAUGAUGUCCACACCAACACUCAGUGCAUUCUGUGAAACUCCUACACAUGCCUGAGAUUUUGAGAAUGAACUACAGGUAUUCUGAUAUAAUGUGGAAGGUGAACAGUUCCACAGUUAUCCCGUGCAUCUUGGCCUAUCAUAGAGAGAAUAGACCUAGGAAUAGGCAUCCAAUCACUACUCUAUCAUCAUAGAGAGUAGACCUGGGAAUAAAUAAUAGACAUCUCUCCCACAUGAUCUCAGAGUCAAUUUUAUCCUUGACUCUGUGAACAACUAACCAAGUUCUUGCUAGAAAGCUUUGAUAUUUAAUUCUUGGUUAAAUAAAUAACAAAACAAAGUAAAACAAAAAUCCUACUUUUUUGUCCUUGUCCUCACAUAUGACAAACUUGAGUUCUGGAUUUGAUGGACGAAUUAAGGUGAAGGAAGACAGAGCACAUGUGAAUAGUGAGAAAAUUUCAGCCUCAAGUGAAGGAGAUUAAUAAACUGUAGCUCAUGAAUAAGUCUCAAGGGUUUGAGAGGUUUCUACAUUCACAGUGCUCUGACAGUUUAGUAAAGUCAGCCCAAGGACCCAGUCUGCUGUAGUGGGAAGCCCUGUUUGAUUAGGGUAACUUGGUUUUGGGAGUUGUACUAGGAUUGUA